rnacentral:rRNA from 1 species
CCUACGGGAGGCAGCAGUAGGGAAUAUUGCACAAUGGGCGAAACCCUGAUGCAGCAACGCCGCGUGAGUGAAGAAGGUUUUCGGAUUGGAAAGCCCUGUUAGCAGGGAAGAGGAUGGACGGUACCUGCAGAGGAAGACACGGCUAACUACGGGCCAGGAGCCGCGGUAAUACGUAGGUGGCAAGCGUUGCUCGGAAUAACUGGGCGUAAAGGAUGCGUAGGCGGUUAAAAAAGUUAUAUGGUAAAUAUAUAGGCUUAACCUGUAGAAAGCAUAUAAAACUGGUGAGCUAGAGUGCAGGAGAGGUAAGUGGAAUGCCUAGUGUAGCGGUGAAAUGCGUAGAGAUUAGGAGGAACACCAGUGGCGAAGGCGACUUACUGGACUGUAACUGACGCUGAGGCAUGAGAGCAUGGGGAGCAAACAGGAUUAGAUACCCGGGUAGUC